rnacentral:rRNA from 1 species
UCGAGGGGCAGCACGGUGUAGCAAUACACUGGUGGCGACCGGCGCACGGGUGCGUAACGCGUAUGCAACUACCCAUAACAGGGGGAUAACACUGAGAAAUUGGUACUAAUACCCCAUAACAUCAGGACCGGCAUCGGUUCUGGUUGAAAACUCCGGUGGUUAUAGAUGGACAUGCGUUGUAUUAGCUAGUCGGUGAGGUAACGGCUCACCAAGGCAACGAUACAUAGGGGGACUGAGAGGUUAACCCCACACUGGUACUGAGACACGGCCCAGACUCC